GCUUUUACCUGGCAGGGCAGAUACCAUGGUCAAGAAGGGGGUUUUUCCAAGGUGAAUCUCAUUCAUUGCACUUAAGGUAUACUGACCCCUGCAAUUUUCCCCAAAUAUGGGAAAUCUAGCUGCAUAAUAUAUGGUAGUGGGGGACAGUGUUCGUGCUUUCUCCUA
rnacentral:snRNA from 1 species